rnacentral:rRNA from 1 species
AUGGUGUUGUAGGAUCAUCCAACAGAUGCUGAAUUGCUCAAUUCUCCAUUGGAGAACUAUGACUAUAUGGAACUUUGCUUUGCUAAUAAGCAUGCCACUGGGAAGUAUGCAAUGGGCCCCGGUGUGCCCCUAGGAACGCCUAUUGUUGUGGAAGACAAGGAUAAACCGAAUGUCAUGGAGGGGGAAGGAACAACAGAUGAGGUAUUGCAACAUCAGCCUGGGUCUAACUUUGUACUUCCUACUGCUAGUGCCACUCAGGACCCUUCUCCUACUUCAAAUAAGAAGAGAAAGAGGGCAUCUGGCUUGACUGAGGAGGACUCAAUCCAGUGUAGCAACAUGACUGAUGCUAUGCGUGAGAUUGCAAGUGCUAUCAACAACACUUGCCAUGCUGAAACACACCCUGACUUGUACAACGCUGUCAUGGACCUUCUUGUGUUUGAGCAAGAUGAGCGCUUGGCUGUUUUAGAUUAUCUCACGGAACAUAAGGUAAAAGGCCUUAACUUUGCGAAGAUGAAUGACGAAGUACGAAAAGCAUCGUUCAAGCGAAUCUUGAAAGCCAAUCCUGAUCUUCUUUGA